UGUCACCGGCCCCCAUAUGAUCCCCGAAGUUAAGCAAUGCCCGGUUUAACUAGUGUCUAGAUGGGUGACUUCUUGGGAAUAACAGGUGUUGUAA